AGGGGGUGGAUUGCAGUGGUCAUAGAGAGCCUAAGCACUAGUAACCAAGAGGGAAAAAAGGAAAGAUAGAAGGUGGCUGGUGCAAUGAUUCUCGUAGGGAAAAAGGGAAGAUAGAGGCUAUGAUUUCCUAGCUUUCGAUGAAAUCGAGUUGGAGAAGGACUCUUCCUCCUCUAUCGCACAAAAAUAGGAGAGUCUCUUAUUUCUAAGGCCUUUGACCUUUCUUUUGGACAUUGGGCUAGGGCAAGGGACUAGCCUAUGGAUCAGGAGGUUGGGCCUCAUAGCGACGGUAGGAUGACAACUCCAAUCGUGGUCAUCGUUGGUGAUGGUUGGCAAAUCAAGAGAAAGAAUUAAAGCCCAAAAUAGGAGGGACCUAUUUAGGCUUAUUUGGUGGCUUCACAGUGGCAAUGGCCUAAAGACUAUAAGGACUCGUUUGGUUGACGGAAAGUAGAGGGGAG
rnacentral:lncRNA from 1 species